rnacentral:rRNA from 1 species
ACGCUCGACACCUACGGGAGGCAGCAGUGGGGAAUAUUGCACAAUGGGGGAAACCCUGAUGCAGCGACGCCGCGUGAGCGAAGAAGUAUUUCGGUAUGUAAAGCUCUAUCAGCAGGGAAGAAGAAAGACGGUACCUGACUAAGAAGCCCCGGCUAACUACGUGCCGGCAGCCGAGGUAAUCUGAGCGGGCUGGCAAGGC